rnacentral:rRNA from 1 species
AUUGAACGCUGGCGGCAGGCUUAACACAUGCAAGUCGAGCGGGGGAAGGUAGCUUGCUACCGGACCUAGCGGCGGACGGGUGAGUAAUGCUUAGGAAUCUGCCUAUUAGUGGGGGACAACAUCUCGAAAGGGAUGCCAAUACCGCAUACGUCCUACGUGAGAAAGAAGGGGAUCUUCGGACCUAGCGCUAAUAGAUGAGCUGAAGUCGGAUUAGCUAGUUGGUGGGGUAAAGGCGUACCAAGGCGACGAUCCGUGGCGGGUCUGAGAGGAUGAUCCGCCACACUGGGACUGAGGCACGGCCCAGACUCCUACGGGGGGCAGCAGUGGGGAAUAUUGGACAAUGGGGGGAACCCUGAUCCAGCCAUGCCGCGUGUGUGAAGAAGGCCUUAUGGUUGUAAAGCACUUUAAGCGAGGAGGAGGCUACUCUAGUUAAUACCUAGGGAUAGUGGACGUUACUCGCAGAAUAAGCACCGGCUAACUCUGUGCCAGCAGCCGCAGUAA